rnacentral:piRNA from 1 species
UACCUUUACCUCUCAGAUUAAU